rfam:Gossypium hirsutum cultivar TM-1 chromosome 13, whole genome shotgun sequence
AGGUGCGAUUAUACCAACACUAAAGCAUCGUAUCCUAUCAGAACUCUGCAAUUAAGCAUUGUUGGGUUAGAGUAGAACUAGGAUGGAUGACCUCCUGAGAAGUCCUCGUGUUGCAUGCC